UUUGACUAUGAUGACAGCACCGACACUACAGGUUCCGACGAUGAAUAUGAACCACCAAAACCACCCACGCCACCCCAGCCACGGAAGAAAACAGGUGCCAACUUCUCUAAGUCACCUCUGCAUCACUCUGCCCUGUACGAAAC